CUUUAUCUGGUUCGUCUGAAUAAAUUGGACAAAGUUAUCUAAAUAGCAUAAAGAACAAAUAAUUUUAGCUGCUGGUUCGACGCCAACAUCCAAAAAACAAGGAGACGCACGAGAACUAUGCACGUGAUUUAGGGUGCAUACCUCAAAGCUCUUCCCGCGUUAUUCAACCUAACCAUGUGCCAUGCUGUGCAGAAUACACGUCUAGAUUAGUCGCAAGAGAAGAUUAGCUCAAGUUCAACUGCCAGGCGACGUCAGUGGAGAACACCUUGGAGCAAAUCCUCCAUACGGUUUUCUUCAUGCUUGGCCCGCCACUGAUGGAUAAUCGGUUCACCUUCAACAGUCUUUGUUCCAGUCUAUCUAGGUCUGCAGUAGAUACUAGAGGAAAGACACCACCCUCUUCCUCUUCAGCCAAUUGCAUUUGGGGUACAAUACGCCUGUUCCCCACUAGAGACUGGACCAGUGAAGUCAGAUGGUUGAUCUUCAUCUCCAUUUUCUCUAGUGUUUCCAGAAUUGCCCUUUCUACAGCUGCAAUACAUAAGAUAAUUUAAUUUGUACUCAAGACUGGAUUUUCCUGUCUCCCAUCAGAAGUACCU